UCUCCGUAGGUGAACCUGCGGAGGGAUCAUUACUGAGUGAGGGCCUCCCCGGCCCGACCUCCAACCCUUUGUGAACACAACUUGUUGCUUCGGGGGCGACCCUGCCGUUUCGACGGCGAGCGCCCCCGGAGGCCUUCAAACACUGCAUCUUUGCGUCGGAGUCUUAAUGAAUUUAAACAAAACUUUUAACAACGGAUCUCUUGGUUCUGGCAUCGAUGAAGAACGCGC
rnacentral:misc_RNA from 1 species